rnacentral:rRNA from 1 species
CAAGGUUUCCGUAGGUGAACCUGCGGAGGAUCAUUA